CCUCCAAGGCUAAAUACUCCUGACUGACCGAUAGUGAACCAGUACCGUGAGGGAAAGGCGAAAAGAACCCCGGCGAGGGGAGUGAAAAAGAACCUGAAACCGUGUACGUACAAGCAGUGGGAGCACGCUUAGGCGUGUGACUGCGUACCUUUUGUAUAAUGGGUCAGCGACUUAUAUUCUGUAGCAAGGUUAACCGAAUAGGGGAGCCGAAGGGAAACCGAGUCUUAACUGGGCGUUAAGUUGCAGGGUAUAGACCCGAAACCCGGUGAUCUAGCCAUGGGCAGGUUGAAGGUUGGGUAACACUAACUGGAGGACCGAACCGACUAAUGUUGAAAAAUUAGCGGAUGACUUGUGGCUGGGGGUGAAAGGCCAAUCAAACCGGGAGAUAGCUGGUUCUCCCCGAAAGCUAUUUAGGUAGCGCCUCGUGAAUUCAUCUCCGGGGGUAGAGCACUGUUUCGGCAAGGGGGUCAUCCCGACUUACCAACCCGAUGCAAACUGCGAAUACCGGAGAAUGUUAUCACGGGAGACACACGGCGGGUGCUAACGUCCGUCGUGAAGAGGGAAACAACCCAGACCGCCAGCUAAGGUCCCAAAGUCAUGGUUAAGUGGGAAACGAUGUGGGAAGGCCCAGACAGCCAGGAUGUUGGCUUAGAAGCAGCCAUCAUUUAAAGAAAGCGUAAUAGCUCACUGGUCGAGUCGGCCUGCGCGGAAGAUGUAACGGGGCUAAACCAUGCACCGAAGCUGCGGCAGCGACGCUUAUGCGUUGUUGGGUAGGGGAGCGUUCUGUAAGCCUGUGAAGGUGUGCUGUGAGGUAUGCUGGAGGUAUCAGAAGUGCGAAUGCUGACAUAAGUAACGAUAAAGCGGGUGAAAAGCCCGCUCGCCGGAAGACCAAGGGUUCCUGUCCAACGUUAAUCGGGGCAGGGUGAGUCGACCCCUAAGGCGAGGCCGAAAGGCGUAGUCGAUGGGAAACAGGUUAAUAUUCCUGUACUUGGUGUUACUGCGAAGGGGGGACGGAGAAGGCUAUGUUGGCCGGGCGACGGUUGUCCCGGUUUAAGCGUGUAGGCUGGUUUUCCAGGCAAAUCCGGAAAAUCAAGGCCGAGGCGUGAUGACGAGGCACUACGGUGCUGAAGCAACAAAUGCCCUGCUUCCAGGAAAAGCCUCUAAGCAUCAGGUAACAUCAAAUCGUACCCCAAACCGACACAGGUGGUCAGGUAGAGAAUACCAAGGCGCUUGAGAGAACUCGGGUGAAGGAACUAGGCAAAAUGGUGCCGUAACUUCGGGAGAAGGCACGCUGAUACGUAGGUGAAGCGACUUGCUCGUGGAGCUGAAAUCAGUCGAAGAUACCAGCUGGCUGCAACUGUUUAUUAAAAACACAGCACUGUGCAAACACGAAAGUGGACGUAUACGGUGUGACGCCUGCCCGGUGCCGGAAGGUUAAUUGAUGGGGUUAGCGCAAGCGAAGCUCUUGAUCGAAGCCCCGGUAAACGGCGGCCGUAACUAUAACGGUCCUAAGGUAGCGAAAUUCCUUGUCGGGUAAGUUCCGACCUGCACGAAUGGCGUAAUGAUGGCCAGGCUGUCUCCACCCGAGACUCAGUGAAAUUGAACUCGCUGUGAAGAUGCAGUGUACCCGCGGCAAGACGGAAAGACCCCGUGAACCUUUACUAUAGCUUGACACUGAACAUUGAGCCUUGAUGUGUAGGAUAGGUGGGAGGCUUUGAAGUGUGGACGCCAGUCUGCAUGGAGCCGACCUUGAAAUACCACCCUUUAAUGUUUGAUGUUCUAACGUGGACCCGUGAUCCGGGUUGCGGACAGUGUCUGGUGGGUAGUUUGACUGGGGCGGUCUCCUCCUAAAGAGUAACGGAGGAGCACGAAGGUUGGCUAAUCCUGGUCGGACAUCAGGAGGUUAGUGCAAUGGCAUAAGCCAGCUUGACUGCGAGCGUGACGGCGCGAGCAGGUGCGAAAGCAGGUCAUAGUGAUCCGGUGGUUCUGAAUGGAAGGGCCAUCGCUCAACGGAUAAAAGGUACUCCGGGGAUAACAGGCUGAUACCGCCCAAGAGUUCAUAUCGACGGCGGUGUUUGGCACCUCGAUGUCGGCUCAUCACAUCCUGGGGCUGAAGUAGGUCCCAAGGGUAUGGCUGUUCGCCAUUUAAAGUGGUACGCGAGCUGGGUUUAGAACGUCGUGAGACAGUUCGGUCCCUAUCUGCCGUGGGCGCUGGAGAACUGAGGGGGGCUGCUCCUAGUACGAGAGGACCGGAGUGGACGCAUCACUGGUGUUCGGGUUGUCAUGCCAAUGGCACUGCCCGGUAGCUAAAUGCGGAAGAGAUAAGUGCUGAAAGCAUCUAAGCACGAAACUUGCCCCGAGAUGAGUUCUCCCUGACCCUUUAAGGGUCCUGAAGGAACGUUGAAGACGACGACGUUGAUAGGCCGGGUGUGUAAGCGCAGCGAUGCGUUGAGCUAACCGGUACUAAUGAACCGUGAGGCUUAACCUUACAACGCCGAAG
rnacentral:rRNA from 1 species